rnacentral:rRNA from 1 species
UGAGGACAACCCUUAAACGGCCGCGAUAAUCCGUGCGAAGGUAGCAUAAUCACUUGUCUCCUAAAUAGAGACCUGUAUGAAUGGCCACAUGAGAAAGAAACUGUCUCUUAAAGAUAACCAAUGAAACUGAUCUGUCUGUACAAAAGCAGACAUAAUGAAGCAAGACAAAAAGACCCUGUGAAACUUUUAACCUCAUGUCAACCCACAUAUGACACUACCUUUAAGUUGGGGCAACUAUAGAGAAACAAAACCUCUACCAAAUAAUUAGACUAACCAGUCCAAUUAAAUCUCCACAUGACCCAGUAAUACUGAUCAAUGGACCAAGCUACUCCAGGGAUAACAGCGCUACAUUCUUUAAGAGUCCACAUCAACAAGAAUAUCUACGACCUCGAUGUUGGAUCAGGGUACCCAAGUGGUGCAGCAACUACUAACGGUUCGUUUGUUCAACGAUUAAUAC